AGUGAACGCUGGCGGUAGACCUAACACAUGCAAGUCGAACGGCAGCACAGUAAGAGCUUGCUCUUACGGGUGGCGAGUGGCGGACGGGUGAGGAAUACAUCGGAAUCUACUUUUUCGUGGGGGAUAACGUAGGGAAACUUACGCUAAUACCGCAUACGACCUACGGGUGAAAGCAGGGGAUCUUCGGACCUUGCGCGAUUGAAAGAGCCGAUGUCGGAUUAGCUAGUUGGCGGGGUAAAGGCCCACCAAGGCGACGAUCCGUAGCUGGUCUGAGAGGAUGAUCAGCCACACUGGAACUGAGACACGGUCCAGACUCCUACGGGAGGCAGCAGUGGGGAAUAUUGGACAAUGGGCGCAAGCCUGAUCCAGCCAUACCGCGUGGGUGAAGAAGGCCUUCGGGUUGUAAAGCCCUUUUGUUGGGAAAGAAAAGCAGCAGGUUAAUACCCCGCUGUUCUGACGGUACCCAAAGAAUAAGCACCGGCUAACUUCGUG
rnacentral:rRNA from 1 species